CUCCAUUUCCUUACGAAGUCUCACAGUCUCUUUAGCAAACUCAAUCUUCUUCUUCUCCAUUACCAUUACUCUCUCAGCAAACGCCCUAAUCUCCGCUGCAACGGCUCGCAUUCCUUUCCUCCGCCUCUCACCACCGUCUCCAUCGUUCCUCUUCCUCUUCGAUGAUCUCUCUUUUUGUCCCCAUGACAACAAUCCUCCACCAACUCCAGCAAAUCUGUUAACAGUUCCAGGUCUUCUC